GUACAGUGCCUGGCGUGUGGUAAGCGCUUAACAAAUACCACAAUGAUUAUUAUUACUAUUAUUCGGUACUACCUCAGUACUCAUGGAUAGGCAGGCAAUCCUUGAACAUGCAGAUGCAAUGCAUUCCUGAAAACGGCUUCUUCAGUUGAAACAUUGUAAGUCACUGAGCCAGUUUUCUCAUAGGAACCAUGUUAUAAGUGGAGGGGUUAGUUCCGGAACCAAGGUUGGAUUCCCUGCAUUUAUCAAAAUUAUCCAGAAUUAUGUAUUCAAUUAUGGAUUAGUAAUGUUGCUACAUUCAUGCAUUUUCAUCGAGUCGGAGAGUUUCCAUGAUAGGGGAGCCAAUUUUUACUUCGUCAACAGUAAAAUGGACAUGACGGCCCUCCCUGGCGACUCCACCUGGCCAUCAGGACCCACCACAGUCACGGGGACCAGACUGGACCAACAAGGGUGCAGGGGAAGGACGUGGAGCUGCAAGCAGAGAAGAGGGGAAAGGGGGAAAGCCCCCUCCCAGGCCUCCUACAAGGGCUGAUCUGGCCCAGUUCUAAGGCUCUGUGACAGUCUGGGUUGGGGUAGCUACAGUCAGGGAAGGAGCCAGCCCGAGCACGAAACAAGCACGUAUUUGGCUGUUAAAAAAAAAAAUUGAAUAAAAGCAUGACCUAG